AUGGAAGACUACUUCGCGGAGGUACCUACAUACCCUCCUCGUCUCUUCCGCAGAAGGUACCGAAUGCGGCGUAGUUUGUUUGUGAAGAUUGUCACCGAUUGUGAGGCCGCCUCCUAUUACUUUAAACGUCGUAGAUCCGCCGCCGGUAUCAUGGGGUUUAGUGCAUAUCAAAAGAUAUCGGCGGCAAUGCGGGUACUCGCUUAUGGCAUACCCGCGGAUUAUACCGACGAGUAUCUUCGCAUUGGGCAAGAUACAACUACGGAGUCAGUCCGUAGGUUUGCCAAGUUGGUCAUCCGGUUGUACGGUGAGCAGUAUCUUCGGGCACCAAACCAGGAAGAUACAAAGAGAUUAAUGGAAAUGAAUGAAAAAAGGGGAUGGCCGGGGAUGCUUGGUAAUCUUGAUUGCAUGCAUUGGAGGUGGAAAAAUUUCCCAAAGGCAUGGCACGGAAUGUAUUGCGGUAAAAGCCGUGAUGCUACCAUUGUGCUUGAGGCCGUAGCAUCUCAGGACACAUGGAUUUGGCAUGCAUUCUUUGGGUUGCCGGGAACACUCAAUGAUAUCAAUAUCCUCAAUAGAUCUCCUUUGUUCAAAAGAUUAAUUUCUGGGGAUGCUCCAUCUUGCAACUACAAAAUCAUGGACAAUGAGUACUCAAUGGGAUACUAUCUCACCGAUGGCAUCUAUCCCGAAUGGGCAACUCUUGUGAAGUCCAUCAAGGAGAAAAAUGGGGUGCCCUUAACAAGAAAAGAGGCUCAUUUCACCAAGGCACAAGAGGCAGCCCGCAAGGAUAUUGAGAGAGCUUUCGGUGUUUUGCAAGCAAGGUUUGCCAUAGUUCGUGGUCCAGCUCGGUUUUGGGACAAAAAAACCUUGGUGAGGAUGAGAGAGGGUUAA
rnacentral:rRNA from 1 species